rnacentral:rRNA from 1 species
UUGCUUUGGCCGGCGCGUUUACUUUGAAAAAAUUAGAGUGCUCAACGCAGGCGAUUCGCCUGAAUAACAGUGCAUGGAAUAAUAGAACAAGAUCCUGUUUCUGUUCUGUUGGUUUUUGGAAUACAGGAUAAUGAUUAAGAGGGACAGACGGGGGCGAAGUCGGCGUCGGCUUAGCAGCCGACGCCGACUUCGGCGCGUUUCUUCUG